rnacentral:rRNA from 1 species
GAUGAACGCUGGCGGCGUGCCUAAUACAUGCAAGUCGAACGCGAGAGGAGGGAGCUUGCUCCCUCUGAUCGAGUGGCGGACGGGUGAGUAACACGUAGGCAACCUGCCCAUCAGCCGGGGAUAACUGCGGGAAACCGUGGCUAAUACCGGAUAAUCCUCUCCACCGCGGGGUGGGGAGUUGAAAGACGGUUUCGGCUGUCGCUGAUGGAUGGGCCUGCGGCGCAUUAGCUGGUUGGCGGGGUAACGGCCCACCAAGGCAACGAUGCGUAGCCGCCCUGGUGGGGUGAUGGGCCACACUGAGACUGAGACACGGCCCAGACUCCUACGGGAGGCAGCAGUAGGGAAUCUUCCGCAAUGGACGCAAGUCUGACGGAGCAACGCCGCGUGAGUGAAGAAGGGUUUCGGCUCGUAAAACUCUGUUGUUAAGGAAGAACGCCAGGUAGAGUAACUGCUACCUGUGUGACGGUACUUAACCAGAAAGCCACGGCUAACUACGUGCCAGCAGCCGCGGUAA